AGCAUGUUAGCUCAGGGGAAGAGCGCCGGGCUCAUAACCCGGAGGUACGUUUACACCGGCAUUUCUGAACUAGCCGAACACAGAGUCUAACAGACAACAGGACCCUGGAUCGAAACCAGGACAUGCUA
rfam:Aspergillus terreus NIH2624 scaffold_3 genomic scaffold, whole genome shotgun sequence.